rnacentral:sRNA from 1 species
ACUUCGGGUAGCUGGGAGGCCAGGUGAGGGGCGCGCACGGGGGAGGGGCGUGCAUAGUUGAGACAGAAACCGGGAAGACCCAACUGUGGCGCGGCACUGCUUGACCGAGGGGCUCCGGAGCCCAGCUGCACCGGCUGCGGUUUGAGCGCCCAGGGCCGGGGUGCGGGGUGGACCGCGGCGGCCCUUCGACCAAAGGUGCUUGAAGCUCGAGCCCAUUACUUUCUGUGGACUCUGACUCGAGCUGCAAAAGCUUUUCUGCACUGUUUUUCUCAUCUAUGUUAUGAAGAUAAUAAUUCCGGCCCUAACCGUAGUAUGCUUGCGAGAAUCCAACAAUAUGAUGUUUCUGAAAGCGCCGGCUGAACUAAGAGCGCGUGAAAUAGAAUGACAGACAGCUCUGCAAGAACGAAGGCCCUAUUUUGUACCCAGCUGUACGGUGCUGGCGCCGAAAGACGUUCAAUAAAUACUUAUUGAAUGACGAAUACGCGUUAGGAGUUGCAAAAUAAGGACCUUUAGGUGUUCUAUUGUAAGUGAAGAUCUAAGAUUUUCCAAGUUACAACUGAAGAG